CGCUCAUCCAGAGGGGCAGAGGGAACGGCCCGACGAAGCCCCGGCAACCGGCGUCACUCGUGACGUACCGGUGCCAAUUCCGACCCACCCGUGGGAAAGAUGAGGA
rnacentral:ncRNA from 2 species